UGCAAGCCAUUUGAUUUCGGUAAUCAGAUCUCCUCAUCCAAAUACAGUAAAGCUAAAUACCAGGCAACAUGUAUAAACAAAGUACACACCGAAGAGCAACAGUUCCAGGCCUGUAACGAUGGGGCUUCUUCACUCCACCAGUGGUGGGGGCAGACUUACGAGCAGCCUGUGAAACAAAAGAAUUCGAAUGAGUUCCGGAUAAAAGAAGAUGAACUGGAAAUAUGUCUAGGUUACGGGGAUAGAAAAGGAAAACCUUAGUAGCAAGCUGCUUCCUGGGAGCCUUUCCUCCAGUAGACUUGCGAGCAGUUUGCUUGGUACGAGCCAUCUGCACAGCGAGAUAUCAUUCUGAUUACAAUCCACACUACACAUCGAUGAAUCAAAUCCAAUUGAAACACGGAAUUCAAACUUCAGGUGACCGAACUAUGAACCAAAAGCGCAAAAAUCCCUAAUUACGAAUGAUAACAUUACAGUUCCCCGAAGACGAUAUUUCUCUGCUUACCGGAAGACCUAACGGCGGCAGUUUAGAGGGAAGAACAAUCGAAGGAGAUAAAAGAACGUAAGAAACUCAACUCGAAGAUGGGAUCAAAGAUAGGUGAAACGUAGACGAGAUCGGUAUA
rnacentral:lncRNA from 1 species